rnacentral:rRNA from 1 species
AGUGAACGCUGGCGGUAGGCCUAACACAUGCAAGUCGAACGGCAGCACAGUAAGAGCUUGCUCUUACGGGUGGCGAGUGGCGGACGGGUGAGGAAUACAUCGGAAUCUACUUUUUCGUGGGGGAUGACGUAGGGAAACUUACGCUAAUACCGCAUACGACCUACGGGUGAAAGCAGGGGAUCUUCGGACCUUGCGCGAUUGAAUGAGCCGAUGUCGGAUUAGCUAGUUGGCGGGGUAAAGGCCCACCAAGGCGACGAUCCGUAGCUGGUCUGAGAGGAUGAUCAGCCACACUGGAACUGAGACACGGUCCAGACUCCUACGGGAGGCAGCAGUGGGGAAUAUUGGACAAUGGGCGCAAGCCUGAUCCAGCCAUACCGCGUGGGUGGAGAAGGCCUUCGGGUUGUAAAGCCCUUUUGUUGGGAAAGAAAAGCAGCAGGUUAAUACCCCGCUGUUCUGACGGUACCCAAAGAAUAAGCACCGGCUAACUUCGUG